rnacentral:rRNA from 1 species
CGCCUGUUUAACAAAAACAUGUCCUUUUGAAUAUAUAUAAGUUUUAGCCUGCCCAAUGAGGUUUUAAAUGGCCGCAGUAUUUUGACUGUGCAAAGGUAGCAUAAUUAUUAGUUUUUUAAUUGAAAGCUUGUAUGAAAGGUUGGACGAGAUAAAGUCUGUCUCUAUUUAAAUAAAAGUAGAAUUUAACUUUUAAGUCAAAAGGCUUAAAUGUUUAUAAAAGACGAGAAGACCCUAUAGAUCUUUAUUUAAUUAAAAUUUUAAUAAUUUAAGAUUAUUUUAGUUUAAAUUUUUAAUUAAAUUUUAUUGGGGUAAUAUAAAGAUUAAAUAAAUUCUUUUUAUUAAUUACAUUGAUUUAUGAAUAUAUGAUCCAAUAUUAUUGAUUAUAAGAUUAAGUUACCUUAGGGAUAACAGCGUAAUUUUUUUGGAGAGCUCAUAUCGAUAAAAAAGUUUGCGA